rnacentral:rRNA from 1 species
UACAGAGGGUGCGAGCGUUAAUCGGAGUUACUGGGCGUAAAGGGCGCGUAGGCGGUUAUAUAAGUGAGAUGUGAAAUCCCUGGGCUUAACCUAGGAACUGCAUCUCAUACUGUAUGACUGGAGUAUUGUAGAGGGUAGUGGAAUUUCCGGUGUAGCGGUGAAAUGCGUAGAGAUCGGAAGGAACACCAGUGGCGAAGGCGGCUACCUGGACAAAUACUGACGCUGAGGCGCGAAGAGCGUGGGGAGCA